CUUAAGUGGUGAGCCAAGUAAGAGUGCAAGGACCUGAGUUCAAGCCCCAGUACCCACUUCUCCCCACGCAUGAGAGAUGUGCCAGGAGCAGAGGGGAGUAGAAAAUAACGUACACAGUUUUUAGCUGGGAAUGACAGGUUCUAAGAUGAAUGGGGCUGAUGGCUGUACAGCAAUGUGAAGAUACUUAAUGUCACUGAAGUGUACACUAAAAAUGGUUACAAUAAGACCUAGGGCUUGACUCAGCAGUCAAAUGCCUGCCUUCAGGCACUUUGGGCCUGCCCAAAGACCUGAGUUCAAACUUCAGUACCACUAUAAAAAAGAAAAUAGUUAAAAUAAAAGCUGUCUCUUGUUACAAUUAAAAAGAGUGCUUUUGCUUUUCUCCAAGAAAAGCAAGGCAGAAAUGAUGAGAGCAGUAGUCUGAGCUAAACUCUUCCUUGAUUACACAUGGAUUUCUUUGUGUCUUGAACCUUUACUAGAAUGGCUCAUAGAAGCAAAAAAAAAAAAAAAAAAAAAGCAGCAGCCUAGUUCUCCUAGCUGCAGUCUAGUUCUCCUAGCUGCAGUCUAGGUGCAUUUUCUUGCAGACUUGCAAAAUGGCAGACACAUGCCCAUGCCCAUCCUCCCUGCUCUGUCUUUUCAAGACUUCAUUUAUACACACCAGAGGGUCACAGAAGUGGAAGACCUCCACUCUGAGUUACAGAAAUUAAGUGAUUUUGAAGGAUAUAGCCAUGGAUUUUACCAAGGAAUGGGAACUGAUAUAUUCAGCACAAAGAAAUCUCUAUAUAGAAAAGAUACUAGAGAACUACAGAAACUUCAAUUCAGCAAACCCCUUCAAACGACAAGAUAGUAAGCUGAGGACAGCGAAGAGAAAAAUUCACCAAGACUCCUGUGCACAUGGUAAUGAGUCUGCUUAUGACCACUCAACCACAACUAUUCAAGAUAGUUUGUAAAAAGAAAAGACUCAACAGUAAGGAAAAGGAGCCAACACAUGGAAGCAAUUCCUUCAAAUGUGCAUUACUCACACUGCUCCAGCUCCUACUUUAGGAGAUAUAAGAAGACUCACUCUAAGGAGAAAUCUUAUGGAUGCUGAAUAUAGAGAAAUAUUUAGAGAUAGCUUACUUCUUAGCAUGAAAUCAUACAAGGUAAAAAUACUAUACCACAGGUAAAAUAAUGAAUGCAACAAAUUUAAAGCUCUCUAAUCUUACCAAGCACAAGCUAACCCAUUCUAGAGAAAAAUUGUUACUGCAAUGAUUGUGGGAAAAUCUUCAGCACUCUUUCAUAUCUUAACAGACAUAAGAGAAGCUACAAAAGAGAAAUUUACUAGAUGCAGCCACUGUAGAAAACUAUGAAGCAGACAUCUCUUAUAGUGAGCCCAAGAAUACACACUGGAGAAAAACCUUGCAAGUGUGAUCAAUGUGGGAAAACUUUUAUUAGAGUGAGCUCUAAUAUUACUGUACACCAAAAAACUCAUAGUGGUAAGAAACGACAUAUAUGUACUCACUGUGAAGGUCUUCAGGGAAUGUUCAAGUCUCAAAGAACAGAGCUAUUCACACUGGUAAAAAGCCUCUGCUGUAAACAGCAUGAGCAAGCUUUCCAAUGUGAAUCUUCCCUCAAUUUUCACAGAAAAAUACACAGGAGAACAACACAAUAUGAAAGUAAGGGAUGUGGGAGUGUUCAAGAUUCUGGUAACUCAGAGGCAUGAAAAUUUACCCCACGGAAAAGAAGCCUUCUAAGUGUAGCGAGUGGUACAAAGAGUUUAACACAGAUGUUAGGAUCAUUCCCACAGGGGAGGAAGCACAUUAGUGCCGUCAGUGUGGAAGGACACUCCUACCACCCAUCUGAGCACACACACACAUUGGAGAGACCCAAAGUGGCACGUUUCUGUCUUAAAUGGCAUGGAAGACAUCACACAGGUGAAAAACCCUUUAAGCGUAAUCAGGGUGGGAAGGCCUUCAUGGGGAACUCUUACCUCAUUCCUCAUAGGAGAAUCAAAUAAUGCAAAUUUAAGGAAUGGGUCAUUAUUUUUUUAAAGGAAUGACAGUAAUACUUUGUUCGUAAGUUUUGUGCCCAUCCAUGGACACAGCAGCAUCAAUCUGUCCACCAGAGGCAUGUGAUGUAUACUACCACAAGACAAUAGUGGUGCCUGCCUGACCAAGUAUGGCCUCGAGGUGGCCUAAGGUAGUGUGUAGCAUGUGUAUACACUGAAUACGCUGAACCACAACCUCAGGAAAUGUGGCAAUAGGACUCACAGAGAGUUGUUAAGAGGAAGGCUGAGUCCAUUUUCCUCAAAGUCCACCCCUUCCGGUUCCUCACAGUACAAUCUAACACACCACUCAUCUUCCUCAAGAAGGGCUAACCUUAGACCCACAUACUGUAACAGUACACCAGAGAGAAGAAAUCUCCAAAAUAUAGUGAGUGUAGCAAAGCCUUGAGAGAACUCAUACCUCAUGACAUACAGAAGAAUUCACAGUGAGGGAAACCAUAAGUGCAACAUGGAAUCUUACUCUUCCUCUAGAACAUGUGCUGGUUUCAGUAAGGUUUACAGUAAGCUCAUAUGCUAUCACUUGCAAGGAAUCCACAAUGGAUACAUUCCUCUCUGAUGACAAAUGCUGUACAGCUUUGGUGAACGAUCUAUUUUAGCAACACAUAUAAGCAAAUGCUGACUGAUGAAAAAUGAUAGAUGAGAAGAAUGUGAGAGAGCAAUGGGAUGAGAGUUAUCCAAUUACUUAGAAAUCCUUUUUAUGUUCUUCACCUCUCAGAAGAUACAUGGCAAUUCAAUGCUAGAGAAAUAUUUUAUCUCUGCGGCUUGCUACUGAAAAAAAGCAAACACCUCAAGUUGUUGUUGUUCUGUGUGCCAGUGGUUGGGCUUGAACUCAAGGCUUUGAAUCCUUAGGUUUUUUUCACUACCAGCUGGUGCUCAAUCACUUCAGCAACAGCUCCACGUCUAGCUUUUUGGUAGUUAACUGGAGAUGAGUCUCUCAGAUUUGUCUACCAGGACUGACUUUGAACCUUGAUCCUUUGAUCUCAGCUGCCUGAGAGUAGCUAAGAUUUCAGGGGUCCACAAUUGGUGCCAGGUAGCACCUGAAGUUUUAAGGCACCAAUGUUCUGACUGUGUCCUAAGGAGGGAGAAGUUUCCUUUUCUGACAAUGUAAUCAAUAACUAAUGUGCCUCAGAUCCUAUCAGUUUUACAAUUUUUACAUAUGAAAGGUAAAUUGGUUAGAAGACAGAUAGUAAAUGUAUGUAUUGAAGGUUUUAAAAUACAAGUAUAUCAUAUGUUCCAACCAUCCCACUCCUGAGUCCUAUCAGAGGGAAAGGAUGUCAGCGUCAAGAGAUACUUGCAUGCCCAUGGUAGGCAAAAUAUAGAAACAUUGCAGGUAACCACCACCAGAUGAAUGUAUAAAUGAAGUACAAUAUGUGUCUGCAAUGGACUAUUACUCAGUCAUUAAGAGUUAUCUUGUCAUUUGCAGGAAACUAGUUGGAACUGGAGGAUAUCAUGGCAAUAAGCAAAAUAAACUAGACUAAGAAAGUCAAGUAUCACAAGCUGGCCAUAUGAGAAAUAUGACAAAACUGGUAACGUAACAAGUAGGAGGGGAUUGAUUAGUAGGGACAAGAAAAGGUGGUGGGAGCAGGGAGGACAGUCAUGGGUAUUUCACUACCCUAGAGCAUUGACCAUGCACAAUGAUUCAUGUCGUAACUCCCAUUAAUUUGUACAGUUAGUGUGGGUUAACCAGCAAAUUAGUAAAAAAUGUAUAAUUUAUGUGUUAGGUCAAGAAUUUAAAUUGUAUUUGCAAAUCUUCUAUGUAUUUAUAAAUUUCGUGUCUCUGGGUCUUUCACUUUCAGACCCAAUGUCUGUAAGAAUCUUCCUGCCAAGUUUACUGAUGGUUAAACUUUCCUUGCAAUUCUGUGUUUUUAACAAUAGUCUUGUUUACACCUUUGAAAAGAUAAAAGCACUUAGAAUUAGAAUGUGUUCAUAUUUUAAGUAAUUUCAACCUGCUCACUAAAUGAGAGAAGGUUAAAAAAAAAAAAGAGAGAGAGAAGGCUGAACACUGUACCAGUACUAAAGUAUGGCAGUGCUGUCAUAGGAACCUAGUCCAUUGAGAAAGAGCAAAUUGUUGGCAUUUUCUAGUAGGGGAGGAAGAGCGUCCAAAGGAAUCUAACAUAAUGGCCUGAGAAAUUGGUAGAAAACCUAGAGUGUUAAGCCAUAAAACCUAAGGUAUGUUCAAUCAACUAGAAUGCUACAGUUACAUUUGAAAGGUUAGGGAACUCAUUGGUUCCAGCAACACGGCCAUCAAGCCAGGAAAAGGCAAGGUAAGAAGAGAAUGUGUAAAGAGAGCCCAUAGUGCGGACAAUAAGGAGUCUACCUACUAUCAGAAGAAAAGAAAUGUAAGAAAAAAGGAAAGAAGAAAAAAGCAAAGGUAAGAG